AUCCAACUGACGAAUCUCGAAUAAGACGAAACGCGCAUCCUGGAU
rnacentral:hammerhead_ribozyme from 1 species